AAAGAGACACUUGUAUUUUGCAGCAGAGGGAUCGUCGCGGACGCGCGUUAACUUAAACGGAAUACGAGCGACAGUGUUUCUCUGUGUCUCUUUGCGUAUUCGGUGCAUGCGACGCGUGCGUAACGUUUAACCGCGAUCGUCGGGAGCUACGCGGCGCAGAAUUGUUGCGGAUCGAUUUUAUGCUCCUCGGAGCACGGAGAAAAAUGAAACGUUAAUUGCGCCGCGUUGCUACGUCACACACGAUGCGGAGGCGGAGAGUUAUUAAUGCGGGAUUGCAACGAGCAGCGCUGACGGAUACGCGAGUCGCGGGAGUGUCCUGCACGUCGUGUUGCAGCGACAAGGAUUAAUAAACGUUCGUCGCCAGAUCGUCGAUCCUCGCAGACGGUGGGAUUGUGAGCUGAAACGAGAGAAUAGAUCUGCCGAAGCUGGCCACACACUGGAUACGGUUCCCGGGAGAUGCAGUUCCGAUGGAUGCGGAUGCCGCACUGGAGGAUCCGGUUCGGGCCGAGCAGAGUCGGCUCGAAGAACCGCAGUAGAACGUGGCCGAUUCUGAGCUCCUGGUAUUUCGG